GCCUCUUGCAAUUAAGGUAUAAGAGGUCCUGCCUGCCCAGUGACAUUAAGUUUAACGGCCGCGGUAUUAUGACCGUGCAAAGGUAGCGUAAUCACUUGUCUUUUAAAUAAAGACCAGUAUGAAUGGCAAGACGAAAGUUCAACUGUCUCCCUAAAUUAAUCAGUGAAAUUGAUUUCUCCGUGCAGAAGCGGAGAUAUAAUUAUAAGACGAGAAGACCCUAUGGAGCUUUAAACAUAUAAUCAAUUGUAUAUCAUAAAAUCCAAAAGAUAAAAUAUAAAAUAAAACAAUAUGAUUAAAAUUUUAGGUUGGGGCGACCACGGAGAAAAACAAAACCUCCGAGAUGAAAAGAAUAUCUUAAUUUAAGAACCACAAUUCCAAAAAAUAAAAUAUUUAACAUAAUUGAUCCAAUAUUUUGAUCAACGAACCAAGUUACCCUAGGGAUAACAGCGCAAUCCUCUCCAAGAGUCCCUAUCGACGAGUGGGUUUACGACCUCGAUGUUGGAUCAGGACACCCCGAUGGUGCAGCCGCUAUUAAAGGUUCGUUUGUUCAACGAUUAAAGUCCUACGUG
rnacentral:rRNA from 1 species